AACGAACGCUGGCGGCAGGCCUAUCACAUGCAAGUCGAACGCCCCGCAAGGGGAGUGGCGCACGGGUGAGUAACGCGUGGGAAUAUGCCCUUCGGUUCGGAAUAACACAGGGAAACUUGUGCUAAUACCGGAUACGAUCUACGGAUGAAAGAUUUAUCGCCGAGGGAGUAGCCCGCGUAGGAUUAGCUAGUUGGUGAGGUAAUGGCUCACCAAGGCGACGAUCCUUAGCUGGUCUGAGAGGAUGAUCAGCCACACUGGGACUGAGACACGGCCCAGACUCCUACGGGAGGCAGCAGUGGGGAAUAUUGGACAAUGGGCGAAAGCUUGAUCCAGCCAUGCCGCGUGAGUGAUGAAGGCCUUAGGGUUGUAAAGCUCUUUCGCCAGGGAAGAUAAUGACGGUACCUGGAAAAGAAACCUCGGCUAACUCCGUGCCAGCAGCCGCCGUAA
rnacentral:rRNA from 1 species